UUACGGCCACAUCACGUUGGAACACCGGUUCCCGUAUGAUCGCCUAAGUUAAGCCUGGUCGAGCCUGGUCAGUACCUAGAUGGGA